AUUGAACGCUGGCGGCAGGCCUAACACAUGCAAGUCGAGCGGAUGAAGGGAGCUUGCUCCUGGAUUCAGCGGCGGACGGGUGAGUAAUGCCUAGGAAUCUGCCUGUUAGUGGGGGAUAACGUCCGGAAACGGGCGCUAAUACCGCAUACGUCCUGAGGGAGAAAGUGGGGGAUCUUCGGACCUUACGCUAUCAGAUGAGCCUAGGUCGGAUUAGCUAGUUGGUGGGGUAAAGGCCUACCAAGGCGACGAUCCGUAACUGGUCUGAGAGGAUGAUCAGGCACACUGGAACUGAGACACGGUCCAGACUCCUACGGGAGGCAGCAGUGGGGAAUAUUGGACAAUGGGCGAAAGCCUGAUCCAGCCAUGCCGCGUGUGUGAAGAAGGUCUUCGGAUUGUAAAGCACUUUAAGUUGGGAGGAAGGGCAGUAAGUUAAUACCUUGCUGUUUUGACGUUACCAACAGAAUAAGCACCGGCUAACUUCGUG
rnacentral:rRNA from 1 species